UUAAACCUGACAGUGCGAACGGUAACAGGAGACAGCUUGCUGCUUGCUGACGAGUGGCGACACGGGUGGAGUAAUGCUGAGGUAAUGUGCCCCGAAGAGAGGGAUAGCCACUGGAAACGGUGAUUAAUACCUCAUACUCCUUCUCAUCACAAGGUGAGUUGGGAAAUGUUUUUCGCUUCGGGAUCAGCCUAUGUCCUAUCAGUUAGUUGGUGAGGUAAGAGCUCACCAAGGCGAUGACGGGUAGCUGGUUUGAGAGGAUGAUCAGCCACACUGGUACUGAGACACGGACCAGACUCCUACGGGAGGCAGCAGUGAGGAAUAUUGCACAAUGGGGGGAACCCUGAUGCAGCAACGCCGCGUGGAGGAUGACGCAUUUCGGUGUGUAAACUCCUUUUAUCAGAGAAGAACAUGACGGUAUCUGAUGAAUAAGCUCCGGCUAACUCCGUGCCAGCAGCCGCGGUAAUACGGAGGGAGCAAGCGUUAUUCGGAAUCACUGGGCGUAAAGGACGCGUAGGCG
rnacentral:rRNA from 1 species